UAUUAGAAAAGGCAAAAACAUUUCACCCGUGUUUCUCUCUCUCUUCCUCACUCUCUCUCUGUGUCCGACGAGCCUUCACGAAAUCAGAAGCCAAUGGAGGAUAAAUUGGCUCGUCGGAGUCUUCAAUCCGCUGUGACCAUCAUCUCCACUGACGCAGGUCACGAUCUGCGAUGAGACGUUUAGCAAAUCGGCGACUCUGGUGAGCAAAUCCGCGAUUUUCCUUCAUCAAAUCGGCGUGGUUCCUUCGGCGAUCUCUUUCUCAUGCUACAAAUUCUUGUUCAUUGGAUUCUUCGUCUUGAUUUAUUCUAAGUCUAAACACCAAGAGGCUAUUUUGUGGGAUCAUCCGGAGUUCUGCACAACCUAUAUUUGCAGAUUAUAUUGGGAAGUUCUGUAUAGAAUCUAUUGAGUUCGAAAACAUGAGUCUUGGACCGCUUCCACCAACAGUUAACGGUGUUAAGUUCUGUGAGACCAAUGACAAGGAGCUUCUUUUAGAACCAUCAAUAAUCAAUAAAGUGGGCAGCUUAACAACUGCAGUGGUGCUUUGCUGUCAUAUUCAAUGUUGCCAAAACCUUCGAGCCACUUCCUGAAGAUAUUCUUCGCUAUGGUACUUCGCUGUUCUUUGUUUAUUAGGCAUUGUCUUGCACAGUUUGUUCUUUUAUUGGUGAUAGAGUGAAAACCUUCACAAGUUUUGUUUAGAAUGUGUGUCAAGUAUUCUUCUUUCUACUCGUACACAAGUUUUUUGAAAUUUAAAUUUUUAGAUCCUCAACUAAGUGUUCUACCAUUGGACUUUGUCAAAAAAUAAUAAACAUUCAUAAGUGUCAACUUUUUGAGAUU